UUUACGAAUGAUGAAUUGUAAAAAUACGAUGUACUCUCGAGUCCUGAGUAGAAACAUUGAACUCAAACAUUGCUCAGUUGAGCGUGAGUUUAAGAUGAAGUAAACUUUGGAAUCUGACGAAAAAAAUUUU
rnacentral:snoRNA from 17 species